rnacentral:rRNA from 1 species
GAGGCGCGGCGCACAGCUCAGUAACACGUGGCUAACCUGCCCUUGGGACAGGAAUACCCCCGGGAAACUGGGGCUAAUCCCUGAUAGGUGAAGAAAUCUGGAAUGAGUCUCCACCCAAAAGACGUUUAGAUCAUGCUUCUAGGCGCCGCCCAAGGAUGGGGCCGCGACCGAUCAGGUUGUUGGUGAGGUAAUGGCUCACCAAGCCUUUAACCGGUGCGGGCCGUGGGAGCGGGAGCCCGGAGAUGGGCACUGAGACAAGGGCCCAGGCCCUACGGGGCGCAGCAGUCGCGAAAACUUUGCAAUACACGAAAGUGUGACAAGACUAUCCCGAGUGCCAUCCGCUGAGGAAGGCUUUUACCCAGUUUAGCAAGCUGGGAGAAUAAGGAGAGGGCAAGUCUGGUGUCAGCC